GGGGAAUAUUGCACAAUGGGCGAAAGCCUGAUGCAGCGACGCCGCGUGAGGGAUGACGGCCUUCGGGUUGUAAACCUCUUUCGCUCAUGGUCAAGCCGCAACAGUGGUUGUGGUGAGGGUAGUGGGUAAAGAAGCGCCGGCUAACUACGUGCCAGCAGCCGCGGUAAUACGUAGGGCGCGAGCGUUGUCCGGAAUUAUUGGGCGUAAAGGGCUUGUAGGCGGUUGGUCGCGUCUGCCGUGAAAUCCUCUGGCUUAACUGGGGGCGUGCGGUGGGUACGGGCUGACUUGAGUGCGGUAGGGGAGACUGGAACUCCUGGUGUAGCGGUGGAAUGCGCAGAUAUCAGGAAGAACACCGGUGGCGAAGGCGGGUCUCUGGGCCGUUACUGACGCUGAGGAGCGAAAGCGUGGGGAGCGAACAGGAUUAGAUACCCUGGUAGUCCACGCUGUAAACGUUGGGCACUAGGUGUGGGGGCCACCCGUGGUUUCUGCGCCGUAGCUAACGCUUUAAGUGCCCCGCCUGGGGAGUACGGCCGCAAGGCUA
rnacentral:rRNA from 1 species